rnacentral:rRNA from 1 species
UCGAGGAUCUUCGGCAAUGGGCGCAAGCCUGACCGAGCGACGCCGCGUGCGCGAUGAAGGCCUUCGGGUUGUAAAGCGCUGUCGAGGGGGAGGAAGCCGCAAGGUUGACCUAUCCCUGGAGGAAGCACGGGCUAAGUUCGUGCCAGCAGCCGCGGUAAGACGAACCGUGCAAACGUUGUUCGGAAUCACUGGGCUUAAAGGGCGCGUAGGCGGGUUCUCCAGUCCGGGGUGAAAUCUUUCGGCUUAACCGGAAAAGGGCCUUGGAUACUGAGAGUCUUGAGGGAGGUAGGGGCAGUGGGAACUUCCGGUGGAGCGGUGAAAUGCGUUGAUAUCGGAAGGAACGCCGGUGGCGAAAGCGCACUGCUGGAUCUCUGCUGACGCUGAGGCGCGAAAGCCAGGGGAGCGAACGGGAUUAGAUACCCCCGUAGUCC